CCAGUGGGAAAAGCUUUAUGUACUGCUGGAAUUGAGACAACAUUAAUUCAAGACUCUGCAGUGUUCCCCAUCAUGUCACGUGUCAACAAGGUCAUCAAAGGUCAUCGUUGGCACCGAGACGGUGGUGACCAACGGAGGCAUUGAGACCUUUGUUGGUGCAGCCUCUCUUGCCUCACCACCAAAGUUUUAUUCUGUUCCAUCGAGGUACUGCACCAUCCUACGUGUACCGGCAGCUUAGCGAACUGUACCGUCCCACUUCUUGUGAUCUCUAAGGUAACAGCUUUAAUCCUUGCAAAUAAGGAAUAAGAGAAAAGAGACACACCUGCCAUUUGUACUGUUAUGCUGUAGUGUUCUGUCAUUUUUUUUCCUCUUUUAUCCUAGAACCAUUUUUGGUCAUUCAUGUUUCUAAAAAUUAUUAUACAAAAAUGUUGAGCUUAAUAUGUUUGGUGUAGCUUUUUGUAACAUGUGUUAUUGUUAAUGUGUGUGGUUCCCCUCAGGAAGAAUGUUGCAGUAUUAGCAGUAAUGUUACAGCCAAUGGAAGUGUCUGUAUUGUGCUUUGGUGGGAGGUUAAUUUGAUGUAUUUUUAGAGUUGUGCAGGAUAUUAUAGCAAGCCCUCAAAAUAAAGAAAAUAACUAUAGAAAA